CAGCCGCCGCGGUAAUACGUAGGGUGCGAGCGUUAAUCGGAAUUACUGGGCGUAAAGCGUGCGCAGGCGGUUUUGUAAGACAGGCGUGAAAUCCCCGGGCUCAACCUGGGAAUGGCGCUUGUGACUGCAAAGCUAGAGUGCGGCAGAGGGGGAUGGAAUUCCGCGUGUAGCAGUGAAAUGCGUAGAUAUGCGGAGGAACACCGAUGGCGAAGGCAAUCCCCUGGGCCUGCACUGACGCUCAUGCACGAAAGCGUGGGGAGCAAACAGGAUUAGAUACCCGAGUAGUCCCUGUCUCUUAUAC
rnacentral:rRNA from 1 species